AAAUACAUAUAUAUUAAAAAAAAAAAAACUCAGACCUCAUGGGGGAAAUGGUGAAUUUUCCUAAGAGUUUCUCAAAACUGAGUAUGUAAUGGGAUAAUAUAUACACAACAGAGUUUGCUAGCUCCCUUCCCAAUAUCCAUUCCACAGUUAUUCUUUGCUAACAGAGCCUAAACUGUACUCAAGUGGGCAACGUGCCCAGCUUAAGAACUACAUUUCCCAGCCUGCUUUGCAGCUAAUGGAGGAUGAGGAAAUAAGAAGAGGAAGUCACCGGGUGGGGCUUCCAGGAAAGCUAUUUAAAGGAAACUGACUUAGCUUGCCUUCUUGCUCUUGCUACUUCCUCUUUCCUGCUUCCUGGAACACAAACAAGAGAGUAAGGGCUGCAGCAGCCAUCUUUGACCAUGAGGUGACCUUAAGGAAGGAAGCCAUAUGCUAAGGAUGGCGAAGCAGAAAGGAGGAAGUUUCGGGGUGUUCCCUCCAUGGCCGGUCCUCAGCCUGCAACUGUGGCUGCAAGGUGCUGCUGGUUACCAGAACAUUCCAUGAGAGCAGAGACCAUGUCGGCCUGCUGCCCUGUUCAUCUCUCCAUCUCCAGCGCCUAGAACAGUGCCUGGCACACAGUAGGUGCUUGGUAAAUACCUUCAGCCAGAACGUCCUUCCAGAGAUGAGGAAAACCGCCCAUUUGGAAAUUGAGCCCAGCUGUGGCACGGCGGGUCACCAGGGAAGCUGUUGGCUGGGCCGAGGAUAAACACCCACAGUUCUAUUCUCAUGCUUAUGACCAUGGAAAUCCGAUGAUGCAAGGUGAAGCAAGAGUGUCAGACUUUCAAAUGACACGGGACUUUAAGUGACAUCCAGGAUGCGGAUUUGCAAGCGUGCACUGGAGCACAGCCAUGGGAAGCUGCUGCUGCAGAAACACCUAGGAUAUUGACGUAUUAAAGGGAAAAUAACCCCUUCAAACUUGGAAGUUCGGGUCUUGAGAAAGUUUACGUCAGGAGAAAUGGUAAUGGAAGAGCUUAAAACCAUAUGGAAAAACAGGGUUGAGCUGUCACCUCUGUGCCCAUUCUGAGAAAUUAUUUACAUCCGCUAAAAUUAUUAUUUUAACAACAAUAAAAAUAGCAAUGGGUAAUAUUUUUUGCACAUGCAGUAACGCUACGUCUGUUCCCCUUUUUAAAGAAACCCUGUGACCCCUCUCUCCACAAAACCAAGUACUGAGGCUGAGGCCUGAGUCCUUCUGGUUACACCGCUGGGAGAGGCUUGAUCUAACCCAAUUCUAAAACAGAAACCCCCAAAGAGGCAAAUUCUUGGCUUUUAUGAGUUCCUAGGCAGGCUUUUGAAAUUCACGGCAGAGAUGAUCAUCUUGAAAGCCAAGGCUUUCGAUUUGCAAGAUUUGCAAAAGGAGACUUUUUUUUUAAAGGUCUCAACUUUGGUUUUGGGUAUCAAAACUCUGGAUUCAAGAGCAAAUCCUUGAAGGAAGCUUGGAAUAAAGUCUAUGCCACAACAGACCGUCCAUCUGCAGGGGAACUGAUGAGAAGUCAGGCGACCCUGUCCUGAGGCUGAAAAUUUUCGAAAUAAACGAAAAAAAAAACCUGGGGAGGAGAAAUGAACGAUUCCAGGGGGCUGAGGAGCAGGUGAAACUGGACUGGCCGUGAGCCGAUCAUUGUUGAAAUCGCGUUCAUCAUUCUGUUCUCUCCAUUUUUGUAUGUUUCUUGAAAUUUUCCGUAAUAAAAAUUUUGCUCUGGUUA